rnacentral:tRNA from 2 species
GCGGACCUAUAGCUCAGCGGUAGGCGUAGAGCGUGUGGAUUUUAACCAUGUGGUCAUGGGUUUGAUCCCAACGGUCGGCG